rnacentral:rRNA from 1 species
GCUCUUUUGGGUCUUAUAAUUGGAAUGAGCACAAUUUAAAUCCCUUAACGAGGAACAAUUGGAGGGCAAGUCUGGUGCCAGCAGCCGCGGUAAUUCCAGCUCCAAUAGCGUAUAUUAAAGUUGUUGCAGUUAAAAAGCUCGUAGUUGAACUUCAGCCCUGGCCGGGCGGUCUGCCUCACGGUAUGUACUGUCUGGCUGGGGCUUACCUUCUGGUGAGCUCGCAUGUCGUUUACUCGGUGUGUGAGGGAACCAGGACUUUUA